UACAGGGGGUGCAAACGUUGCUCGGAAUCAUUGGGCGUAAAGCGCACGUAGGCGGUUCGUUAUGUCGGAUGUGAAAGCCCUUGGCUUAACCGAGGAAGUGCAUCCGAAACUGGCGAGCUAGAGUACGAAAGAGGAUCGCGGAAUUCCCGGUGUAGAGGUGAAAUUCGUAGAUAUCGGGAGGAACACCGGUGGCGAAGGCGGCGAAUCUGGGUCGAUACUGACGCUGAGGUGCGAAAGCGUGGGGAGCAAACAGGG
rnacentral:rRNA from 1 species